rnacentral:rRNA from 1 species
UGAUACGUAGGGGGCGAGCGUUGUCCGGAUUCACUGGGCGUAAAGAGCUCGUAGGCGGCUUGAUAAGUCGGGUGUGAAACCCCCAGGCUCAACCUGGGAUCGCCACUCGAUACUGUCAUGGCUAGAGUCCGGUAGGGGACCAUGGAAUUCCUGGUGUAGCGGUGAAAUGCGCAGAUAUCAGGAGGAACACCAGUAGCGAAGGCGGUGGUCUGGGCCGGUACUGACGCUGAGGAGCGAAAGCGUGGGGAGCGAACAGGAUUAGAUACCCUGGUAGUCCACGCUGUAAACGUUGGGCACUAGGUGUGGGGAGCUAUCGACGCUCUCCGUGCCGCAGCUAACGCAUUAAGUGCCCCGCCUGGGGAGUACGGCCGCAAGGCUA